rnacentral:rRNA from 1 species
UACGUAGGGUGCAAGCGUUGUCCGGAAUUAUUGGGCGUAAAGAGCUCGUAGGCGGUUUGUCGCGUCUGCUGUGAAAACCCGAGGCUCAACCUCGGGCCUGCAGUGGGUACGGGCAAACUAGAGUGCGGUAGGGGAGAAUGGAAUUCCAGGUGUAGCGGUGAAAUGCGCAGAUAUCAGGAGGAACACCGGUGGCGAAGGCGGAUCUCUGGGCCAUUACUGACGCUGAGGAGCGAAAGCGUGGGGAGCGAACAGG